rnacentral:lncRNA from 1 species
UCUCCCCUCAUCUGGGUGACCUUCCUCCAGCUGAGGGCUGUGGCUGAGACCAAAGGCGUGCCCAGACUAGCUCUUGCCCCCCUGCAGACCGGGGGCUGCCCAGGUCAUCAGCUUGCACCAGUCUUCAGGCAGUGCGGGCAGCGGGAGCAAGAGCAGGCUGGACAAUGGUAAAUUCUCCCCCAGUCUUCUGUCAUCUCAACAGUGGGACUAUUAUCCUAUGCCACGACAGGAUGUCAUACAGAUGAGGACACUGAGGCACAGAGAGAGGUGAGAUGCCCAGAGUCACACAAGGCUGGGGGGGAGGGACAC